UGGUUUGAUUCUGGCUCAGGAUGAACGCUGGCGGCAUGCCUAAUACAUGCAAGUCGAACGGAGUGAAGCCUUCGGGUUUCAUUCAGUGGCGAACGGGUGAGUAAUACGCAGGGAACCUGGCCAUGGCAGGGGGAUACACUCUGGAAACGGAGCAUAAGACCCCAUAGGCAGUAAGGCGGCAUCGCCUUACUGUUAAAGAAAGCUGAAAGGCUUUGGCGAUGGAUGGACCUGCGGUGCAUUAGCUUGUUGGUGAGGCAACGGCUUACCAAGGCGAUGAUGCAUAGCCGGCCUGAGAGGGCGGACGGCCACACUGGGACUGAGACACGGCCCAGACUCCUGCGGGAGGCAGCAGUAGGGAAUUUUCGUCAAUGGGCGCAAGCCUGAACGAGCAAUGCCGCGUGAGUGAGGAAGGUCUUCGGACUGUAAAGCUCUGUUGCCGGGGAAAAAGGGGAAAUGCAGGAAAUGGCAUUUCAUGGAUGGUACCCGGCCAGAAAGCCACGGCUAACUACGUGCCAGCAGCCGCGGUAAUACGUAGGUGGCGAGCGUUAUCCGGAAUGAUUGGGCGUAAAGGGUGCGCAGGCGGUCUGUUAAGUCUGAAGGCAAAGGGAUGAGCUCAACUCAUUUAUGAUUCAGAAACUGGCAGACUUGAGGACAGGAGAGGGCGGUGGAACUCCAUGUGUAGCGGUAAAAUGCGCAGAGAUAUGGAAGAACACCAGUGGCGAAGGCGGCCGCCUGGCCUGUGACUGACGCUGAGGCACGAAAGCGUGGGGAGCAAAUAGGAUUAGAUACCCUAGUAGUCCACGCCGUAAACGAUGAGGAGCAGGUGUUGGGAGUGAAAUCUCAGUGCCGAAGCCAACGCAGUGACUCCUCCGCCUGGGGAGUAUGCACGCAAGUGUGAAACUCAAAGGAAUUGACGGGGGCCCGCACAAGCGGUGGAGUAUGUGGUUUAAUUCGAAGCAACGCGAAGAACCUUACCAGGUUUUGACAUCGGAUGCGAAGGCGCAGAGAUGCGCUGGAGGCUAUCAUCCAGACAGGUGGUGCAUGGUUGUCGUCAGCUCGUGUCGUGAGAUGUUCAGUUAAGUCUGGCAACGAGCGCAACCCCCGUGGUAUGUUACUAACGCAUUUGGGCGAGGACUCAUAUCAGACUGCCGGUGACAAACCGGAGGAAGGCGGGGAUGACGUCAAAUCAUCAUGCCCCUUAUGACCUGGGCUACACACGUACUACAAUGGCGUCUACAGAGGGAAGCGACCCUGAGAAGGGAAGCGAAACCGGAAAAGGGCGUCCCAGUUCGGAUUGAAGUCUGCAACCCGACUUCAUGAAGAUGGAAUCGCUAGUAAUCGCGGAUCAGCAUGCCGCGGUGAAUACGUUCCCGGGCCUUGUACACACCGCCCGUCAAACCAUGGAAGCCGGCAACGCCCGAAGCCGGUGGCAUAACCUUUUAGGAGUGAGCCGUCGAAGGCGGGGCCGAUGACUGGGGUUAAGUCGUAACAAGGUACCC
rnacentral:rRNA from 1 species